ACCGGCGCACGGGUGCGUAACGCGUAUGCAAUCUACCUUGUACAGGGGAAUAGCUUUCGGAAACGAGAAUUAAUACCCCAUAGUAGGAAGAUAACGCCUGUUAUCUUUCUUAAAGCUUCGGUGGUACAAGCGGAGCAUGCGUCCCCUUAGCUAGUAGGUGAGGUAACGGCUCACCUAGGCAAUGAUGGGUAGGGGUUCUGAGAGGAAGAUCCCCCACACUGGCACUGAGACACGGGCCAGACUCCUACGGGAGGCAGCAGUAGGGAAUAUUGGUCAAUGGGCGCAAGCCUGAACCAGCCAUGCCGCGUGCAGGAAGAAGGCCCGUAAGGUUGUAAACUGCUUUUAUAGGAGAACAAACCCCUCCGGCGGGAGGGUCUGAGGGUAUCCUAAGAAUAAGCACCGGCUAACUCCGUGCCAGCAGCCGCGGUAAUACGGAGGGUGCAAGCGU
rnacentral:rRNA from 1 species